rfam:Babjeviella inositovora NRRL Y-12698 unplaced genomic scaffold BABINscaffold_2, whole genome shotgun sequence.
GGAGGGUUGGCCGAGUGGUCUAAGGCGGUAGACUUAAGAUCUACUGGACUGUGUCCGCGCGGGUUCGAAACCCGCACCCUUCA